rnacentral:rRNA from 1 species
UACGUAGGGUGCGAGCGUUGUCCGGAAUUAUUGGGCGUAAAGAGCUCGUAGGCGGCUUGUCACGUCGGGUGUGAAAGCCCGGGGCUCAACUCCGGGCCUGCAGUCGAUACGGGCUGGCUUGAGUGCGGUAGGGGAGACUGGAAUUCCUGGUGUAGCGGUGAAAUGCGCAGAUAUCAGGAGGAACACCGGUGGCGAAGGCGGGUCUCUGGGCCGUAACUGACGCUGAGGAGCGAAAGCGUGGGGAGCGAACAGG